UACGAAGGGGGCUAGCGUUGCUCGGAAUCACUGGGCGUAAAGGGCGCGUAGGCGGCGUUUUUAAGUCGGGGGUGAAAGCCUGUGGCUCAACCACAGAAUUGCCUUCGAUACUGGGAAGCUCGAGUCCGGGAGAGGUGAGUGGAACUGCGAGUGUAGAGGUGAAAUUCGUAGAUAUUCGCAAGAACACCAGUGGCGAAGGCGGCUCACUGGCCCGAUACUGACGCUGAGGCACGAAAGCGUGGGAGCAAACAGG
rnacentral:rRNA from 1 species